GCUAGGAUAGCUUAGUUGGUACAGAAUGAGACUCUUAAUCUCAAAGUCAUGGGUUUGAACCCCAUGGUGGGUG